rfam:Schistosoma curassoni strain Dakar, Senegal genome assembly, scaffold: SCTD_scaffold0010159
AUCCAGCUGACAAGUCCCAAACGGGACGAAACGCGCUUCUUGGAU